UUUCAACGGAGAGUUUGAUCCUGGCUCAGGAUGAACGCUGGCGGCGUGCUUAACACAUGCAAGUCGAACGAUGAUGCCCAGCUUGCUGGGUGGAUUAGUGGCGAACGGGUGAGUAACACGUGAGUAACCUGCCCUUGACUCUGGGAUAAGCCUG
rnacentral:rRNA from 1 species